rnacentral:rRNA from 1 species
AAAACUUUCAACAACGGAUCUCUUGGUUCUGGCAUCGAUGAAGAACGCAGCGAAAUGCGAUAAGUAAUGUGAAUUGCAGAAUUCAGCGAAUCAUCGAAUCUUUGAACGCACAUUGCACCCCCUGGCACUCCGGGGGUAUGCCUGUCCGAGCGUCGUC